rnacentral:telomerase_RNA from 1 species
CGCCGAUGACAGACCCCUCCCUCACCUGCUCUUACCUUACCGCUCCCGACGCACUUUACCGCCGCAUCCACCUAAACGAAGACACGAAGACAACGAAAGAGAAAAACACCCGCUGCACCAUCCAACCAUACUUCGAUCUAUCCGCCCACCUCUCUUCCCCUCCCUUUUCCUCCGAAGUACCACUUUUGACCUUCCUUCUUUGCCCUCUAGUUUACCUUGACUCGCAACUCGUCGUACGAAGAGUCACUUGUCGGUAUGGAGAGUUUGUGGCGAAGAGGAAGCAAAGGAGUGAGAAAAGAAGGGAGAGGGAGAAAGAGAGGUAGUCUCAAACGAGACUUUAAAGCAGUCCCCACGGGGACGUUCGGUGGAUAGACGAUCCUAACCCUAAGUUGUUUACCCCGUGCGGAGGUGUACGUUUUCCAGGUUCCUUCUCCAUCGUCCGCUUUCCUUGUUUUGGCGACCGGUGUUUGUCAAAUUCACGUUUUUGCGGCUUGGCUACGGUGGCCUCUUUGAUCGUGGAGACGAAGUUGAGGUGGGAGUCAGAGUAAGAGGGGAUGCUGGACACUCGCUUGCGAGUGAUGAGGCAUCUCUUUUUGACUGUACUCUUGGUCUUGCUUUGUGGAAGCGAUCGAGCGACUGUCAUGGCUCAGCUCUCAGAACGUGGCUUUGGCCGAUAUCGAGCUUCAAACGAAAGGAAGCGGAAGGGAGAGAGGAUGGGAGACGUACAAAUGCAGCUCUAGAGCCCCUCUCCAUCUUUACUCGUUAGGAGUCGGAGGCGGAUCUAUGUAUACUUUCGAAUAUGCAUAGACUUCCGUUCCACAUCGUUGGAAGGCUUUAUCGGCAUUUGCCCUCCGCCACCCAAUUUGAUAUCGACGUACACCGCAACAAAAGGGCUUGCUCUUUGGUUCUCACAAAAGCGCUUUUGUGAAUGGCGGCGAUGUACCUCGUUCGGUAUAACGGUUUUCUUUCUUUGCGCUAGCGGUUCCAUCGUGAUAUCGUUUCUCGUUCACGUCCAAAGGUGCAUCUUUGUUCCGUCCUUCUUUCCGGCACCUUCCUCCCCUUUUUGUCUGGAUCGGAUAGAAGGGGAGGAGAAUCAAUUGGAAAGGUAAGCGAAGUGAUGGCCGGCAUUUGUUGCUUUCUUUGUUGUCUUUGUUGUCGUCGUCAACGGUGGGAGUGGCGGUAGAGUGUAGUGUAAGGUAGGUUCAGUUAGCAGGGUGGAUUCUCGAGGCGUUCUUGACCCGCACCUCUUCUUCGCUCCCAAUCUUUCCUUCGUUCGAUUCUCCUUUCAUCCUUGCGACUUAUGACUUUGCUCAAAAGCGACGACAGGCAAGCGCGACAAAAUGAUGACUGCAACGAGCUGCGAAAAAGAAAGCUCUCUUUCUCUCAUCCUCCUAUGCACAACUCUGCGGAGUCCUUCUGAACGACCUCUUCCUCUCGGCCCCCGGACAUCUUCCUUUGCUAAUCUCUCCCCUUUGCUUCUCUCUGCGCUUUUUGUCCCUUUUCCAACUUUAUUAAAGGUGCGAGUCUCGUUUUCCGUUCAGCUCUCCUGUAGCGAUGCAGAGAGAUGAGCGCGCGGAAACGUACCACGCGCCCUCGGAAGUUCAGGAGAGGUUCCGAUGAGGGUGCGUCUUACCAGAGCAAUGGGGAGAAGAGUAGAGCAGGAGAGAAGGAUAGGGUAGAAGGAAGAGGUUGAUCGCAAGACGUGCAGUCAGAGUUUCGUACUCGCUUAAGGCUGAGAGAGAAGGAAGCUUUCUUGGACCGCGUUCGGAGUGGCAAGAUGCGCUUGCUCGAGUUUUUGAGUAGAAGAAUAUGUCAAGCAGGGGGGCAAGCAGGGAAUAGAGGAAGAAUAGCGGAUAAGAAGGUGGUAGAUAGUAUCAGGGUAAUUUUUCCACUCCUUUCAAGG